UACGUAGGGGGCAAGCGUUGUCCGGAAUUAUUGGGCGUAAAGCGCGCGCAGGCGGUCAUUUAAGUCUGGUGUUUAAUCCCGGGGCUCAACCCCGGAUCGCACUGGAAACUGGGUGACUUGAGUGCAGAAGAGGAGAGUGGAAUUCCACGUGUAGCGGUGAAAUGCGUAGAUAUGUGGAGGAAUACCAGUGGCGAAGGCGACUCUCUGGGCUGUAACUGACGCUGAGGCGCGAAAGCGUGGGGAGCGAACAGG
rnacentral:rRNA from 1 species